GACGAACGCUGGCGGCGUGCUUAACACAUGCAAGUCGAACGGAAAGGCCCUGCUUUUGUGGGGUGCUCGAGUGGCGAACGGGUGAGUAACACGUGAGUAACCUGCCCUUGACUUUGGGAUAACUUCAGGAAACUGGGGCUAAUACCGGAUAGGAGCUCCUGCUGCAUGGUGGGGGUUGGAAAGUUUCGGCGGUUGGGGAUGGACUCGCGGCUUAUCAGCUUGUUGGUGGGGUAGUGGCUUACCAAGGCUUUGACGGGUAGCCGGCCUGAGAGGGUGACCGGCCACAUUGGGACUGAGAUACGGCCCAGACUCCUACGGGAGGCAGCAGUGGGGAAUAUUGAACAAUGGGCGGAAGCCUGAUGCAGCACCGCCGCGUGCGGGAUGACGGCCUUCGGGUUGUAAACCGCUUUCGCCUGUGACGAAGCGUGAGUGACGGUAAUGGGUAAAGAAGCACCGGCUAACUACGUG
rnacentral:rRNA from 1 species